GUGCGGAAGGAUCCACUGCAUGAUGAUAUCAUGAGGAAAGUCCGGGCUGCAUAGGGAGGCGUGCCACCUAACGGGUGGCUUCCGAGAGGAAGGGAAAGUGCUACAGAGAAUAACCGCCAUAUUAUAUGGUAAGGGUGAAAAGGUGGGGUAAGAGCCCACCAGUGCUUGAUGUAAAUCAGGUAGCUGAGUAAACCCCAUGCGCUGAAAGACCAUGUAUACCGAGGAUAGGGUGUCCCGUCCUUUUAUUGAUUUCGGUCAAUAGCUUCGGGGGGUUGGUCGAUUGAACCUCAGGGUGACUUGAGGUCUAGAUAAAUGGUGGAAGUUUAGCAGUCAAUGUUAAAUGAACAGAACCCGGCUUACGAUUCCGCUACACAU
rnacentral:RNase_P_RNA from 1 species